CGCCGCCGCUGCCGCGAGGACCUCUUCUCGGAUCUUGUACGACAGAGUACGACGAUGAUUAUGGCGCCGAGGGAGAGUUGCACGGCGGCGGGAAGAGUGGGUGGACAGCCGCGGACAAGGGGCGCACACUUCGAAGAAACUUGGUCCCCCGUGACCACCAGACAGACAGACAGACAGACAGACAGACAGACAGACAGACAAAAAGCUGGGGUAAGGUCUCCGUCCCGACGACGGAACGACUAGCGUCGUCCGUCUAACGUCGGGACUUCGACGACAGAGAGAGACAGAUAGGCCAGACGACAGCAGGUAGUAAAUGGUUACGUCGGACGGUAUACAGCAGUGCCGUACACUCACUCCGAAGAGCCCUUGAAGCGAACAUUCAUGUUCCAAAUCGAAGCGGCCGAAAUCCACCAGCGCCUGUCGGCUGCAAAGGGCCGCUUGCUCGGGAUUGCUGGACAGGAAAACCCGCACGCCGUCCAACAGCUCGUAAAGACACGGCGCCGGUUGAGGUGGCUGUAAUAGUUGUUGCAGUUGUUGUUUCGGUUGAGGUGGUUGAGGUGUGUACGACUCGGCCGGUGGUGACGGUGAUUGCGAUACUGAUG
rnacentral:lncRNA from 1 species